UACGUAGGUGGCAAGCGUUGUCCGGAUUUAUUGGGUUUAAAGGGUGCGUAGGCGGCUUUGUAAGUCAGUGGUGAAAUAUGGCAGCUCAACUGUCAGGGUGCCAUUGAUACUGCAGAGCUUGAGUACAGAUGAGGUAGGCGGAAUUGAUUGUGUAGCGGUGAAAUGCAUAGAUACAAUCAAGAACUCCGAUUGCGUAGGCAGCUAACUAGGCUGUAACUGACGCUGAGGCACGAAAGCGUGGGGAGCGAACAGG
rnacentral:rRNA from 1 species